GGUCAAUGGAGAGAGUCUGACGGAGCCCGCCGCGUGAGUGAUGAAGGUUUUCGGAUCGUAAGCUCUGUUGAUAGGGAAGAACAAGUACCGUUCAAAUAGGGCGGUACCUUGACGGUACCUAACCAGAAAGCCCCGGCUAACUACUUGCCACCACCCGCGGUAAUACGUAGGUGGCAAGCGUUGUCCGGAAUUAUUGGGCGUAAAGGGCUCGCAGGCGGUUUCUUAAAUCUGAUGUGAAACCCCCCGGCUCACCCGGGGAGGGUCAUUGGAAACUGGGGAACUUGAGUGCAGAAAGGAGAGUGGAAUUCCACGUGUAGCGGUGAAAUGCUUAAAGAUGUGAAGGAACCCAUUGGCAAAGGCGACUCUCUGGUCUGUAACUGACCCUGAGGAGCGAAAGCGUGGGGAGCGAACAGGAUUAGAUACCCGUUUAUCCA
rnacentral:rRNA from 1 species